rnacentral:rRNA from 1 species
AUUGAACGCUGGCGGCAGGCCUAACACAUGCAAGUCGGACGAGCGGCGGACGGGUGAGUAAUGUCUGGGAAUCUGCCUGAUGGAGGGGGAUAACUACUGGAAACGGUAGCUAAUACCGCAUACCAUCAGAUGAACCCAUAUGGGAUUAGCUUGUAGGUGGGGUAACGGCUCACAAAGGCGACGAUCCCUAGCUGGUCUGAGAGGAUGACCAGCCACACUGGAACGGAGACACGGUCCAGACUCCUACGGGAGGCAGCAGUGGUGAAUAUUGCACAAUGGGCGCAAGCCUGAUGCAGCCAGGCCGCGUGUAUGAAGAAGGCCUUCGGGUUGUAAAGUACUUUCAGCGGGGAGGCGUUACCCGCAGAAGAAGCACCGGCUAACUCCGUGCCAGCAGCCGCGGUAAUAC